rnacentral:rRNA from 1 species
CGUGGAUUGAUUUGUCUGGUUAAUUCCGAUAACGAACGAGAUUGGAGCUUUAUUAAAUAGAAAGAUCAUUCUUUAUAUGUUUCUUUUUCCUUUACGGGAAAUUGGAAUACGUGAUUCUUUUCUUCUUAAUGGGAUUUGCGGCGUUCCAGUCGUAAGAAACCCAGCUAUAACAGGUCUGUGAUGCCCUAAGAUGUCUGGGGCUGCACGCGCGCUACAAUGAAAAUUGCAGCGCGUGUAACCAUAUCUGACAAGAUUUGGCAAACGAGUUAAAUUAUUUCGUAUUUGGGAUCGAAUAUUGUAAUUAUUAUUCGUGAACGAGGAACUUCAAGUAAGUGUAAGUCAUCAGCUUACGCUGAAUACGUCCCUGCCCUUUGUAC